rnacentral:misc_RNA from 1 species
AAUAUCGGAAGUUCACUUACCCGUUUAUACCCGCUACUGUAUUCAUAUGAAACAUCCAUUAUACGCGAUGGAUAAUUAUCGAAAACAAAAGUUGAUAUGUUUUUUUCUAUGUUUGAUCGGCAUGAUAGCAAUCAUGUUUGAAGUGAUUGGUUGUUUUACCGAAGCAUGGCUAAGAUAUGAUAUGGACAUACAUAUUAAACGCGUUUUCAGUUUUGAUAUUAGGAAAAAGGACUCGGUAUUGGAUUAUGGACAGUCACAGCUUGCGAGACCGACGAAAGCAACUCCUUUUACGUGGUCAACCCAGUGACAGUAUGCAAAACAGCUACUAUUGAGCAAUUAAACAAGGCCAUUGCUAUGUCUAAUAGCACUUCCAAAGAAGAAGGAAAGGAAUUUCUGAAGAGUUUUCUCCCGCAAAAGAUUCUAACAGUAGCCGGUGGAUUGCUAGGAAUAUGCAGCUUAGCGCUAACAUACGCGUUCGCUAGGACUAAGCCGAAUGAAACUACGGGAUCUUACACAGUGAGCGCAGUUUCCUGCAUAGUUUGCUGGGUCAUAUCAGGCGCACUAUUGUUUGCAGCUGUGGGUAUCCAGAACCACAACAAUGCUAAUUUUGAAAAAGAAACUCAAAUGGCGGCUGAUAAACCGGAAAUAAGAGACGUAUUGACAUUUUCAUUCGGUUCUUCGGCUUCCAUCAUUUUGUUGGGAAUUGGAGGUUCAUUUGGAGUACUCCUGGCACUAAUUAUACCUAUAAUGAUUGUCUGCCGUAUUAGGAGUGGUAAUGAUGCGGAGGCAUAUACAAACCAGGCUAUUUAAAGCUGUUUGUAAUGCAUAAUAAUUGUGUUUAUUGCCUACGCCAUUGUACAGUCUAUUAUUCAACAACAACAUCAACACCACUUACAACAGCAAUACCAACACUAAUUUCAGGACAAUGUGUAAAGUCUGUCUCAAAAAAAUUUGGACCUCUGAUGACUUAUUUAUACUGAAUCUAACCAGGAAGGUCUAAUACGUAUCAGUUGUUCUAGAUCUAACAUUGUCAAAAAUGUCAUCGUUGAGACUAGAAGGUUAAUAUCUCUAGACAUGUUUUAAAUAUUCAAUGAAGUUGUAAAUCAAGAGUUUGUGAUUUCGAAACGUAACACGCGAAAUUUCCGUUAAAUCUCCAAAACAGAGAAUCUUUGGCAAUGGUUACCAGAAAUAAACCGUGAACAGCGAAUUUCCGUAUUGAAAAUAAAAUUCGGUCGCAUGUGAAAACGACUGUUGCACAAAUCUUUGAAAUUCCCGAAGGUGACUUUUUUAAUUCACAAAAUCAUGUUUUAUGUCAGUUGAUCUUUUUCCAUUACUUUAUAUCAGCCCAAAAUUUAGGUCCAAAAUGAGAUGAAACAGACUUAGUUCAAGGUUACCGUAAUAGUUAACUCCCUUUGCAAAUCUUGCAGCCAUUAAAUUUGUCAAUACUUUUCAAAAUCAGUUAAAAAUCUAAGGACAUAAAUUAGACACUUGUCAAAUGCCUUCCUAUGUGCAGAGAUUACAUACGUAGCAACAAUACAAGAACAUUCUUUUAUCGGUAAACAGAAGAUAAAUUCUUGUCUAAUCUGUAGCAGUGUUUAUAUAAGUAAAAUGGCUACCAGGGGAGAUAAUGUGUGCUAUGUGAAAACUAUCACAGGGCUAAAAGGCAGCUACUCCACGAACAUAAACAUCAGAUCAUUUCGUAAUUGAAGUAUCUUCACAGUUACCCACCUUUGCAGGUAAAGUUUAUGUCUAUAAAACUCGGAUGUGUGAGUUUUCGACUGUAAUAGCUGUGUCAGCUGCCUACUGUCUCAAUGGAGUUAUAUCAUUCUUCCACACCCGCUUCUAGCUCUGUAAAAAGAGACUGAGGUUCCUAAUGACCUAUUGUUUUAUAUCUUUAGUUGCUGACAGGAUGGAUUACAUGCUGAAUUUUGUCAUUACAUGAUUCAUAAACUUACGCGUUAUAUUAUGACGAUGUCACAUUUUUGUAUCGUUACUUCAAAUAAAAUUCUCUCGCCAUCCAUUAUCAUACUUCAUUUCUUUCAGGCUUGCACUAUGGUUUGUUUUGUGUUUCUUAAUUCACAUUCUGGCAUUGCCAAGCUUUUUUUCUGCUUUAGCAACAAUUCUUACACGUGCAUUUAAUGAGAAUAAAUUGAAAUUGGA